rnacentral:rRNA from 1 species
CUACGGGAGGCACCAGUGAGGAAUAUUGCACAAUGGGGGGAACCCUGAUGCAGCAACGCCGCGUGGAGGAUGACGCAUUUCGGUGUGUAAACUCCUUUUAUAUGUCAAGAAAAUGACGGUAGCAUAUGAAUAAGCACCGGCUAACUCCGUGCCAGCAGCCGCGGUAAUAGGAGGGUGCAAGCGUUACUCGGAAUCACUGGGCGUAAAGGACGCGUAGGCGGGUUGGAAAGUCAGGUGUGAAAUCCUACAGCUUAACUGUAGAACUGCACUUGAAACUUCUAAUCUAGAGUAUGGGAGGGGGAGAUGGAAUUAGUGGUGUAGGGGUAAAAUCCGUAGAUAUCACUAGGAAUACCUAAAGCGAAGGCGAUCUCCUGGAACAUUACUGACGCUAAGGCGUGAAAGCGUGGGGAGCAAACAGGAUUAGAUACCCGGGUGUC